rnacentral:tRNA from 1 species
GGAAGGAUGGCAGAGCGGUUGAAUGCGGCGGUCUCGAAAACCGUUUCCCGAUUUAUUCGGGACGCAGGUUCGAAUCCUGCUCCUUCCGCCA